rnacentral:rRNA from 1 species
ACACGACUCUCGGCAAUGGAUAUCUCGGCUCUCGCAUCGAUGAAGAGCGCAGCGAAAUGCGAUACGUGGUGCGAAUUGCAGAAUCCCGUGAACCAUCGAGUCUUUGAACGCAAGUUGCGCCCGAGGCCAACCGGCCAAGGGCACGCCUGCCUGGGCGUCAAG